rnacentral:piRNA from 1 species
UGGGACUCUGAUUCUCCCACAGAGGGGCCGA